GAAGAUUUUGUUUCUGAUCACAACGCAUCCCAUAAAAUCAGCAUUGUCGAUUGCAACAAAAUCAUUUGCAGAUUUAAGUCAAGGACCUUCUUCUUCUAACAAAAAAACCCAAGCUUCUUCAACGCACCACCGUCCACCGCCAUCUCCUCUCCACUAUGUCUGUUAUCUUCUCCAUUUUGCCAUACCACCGCUUUCCCAGCACACCUUUACCAUAUAUGUCAUAUGGUUCCUAUUCCUCUUCCUCUCAAUCUAUUUUCCGCUCCUUCAUCUUUCUCUCUCUCUCUCUCUCUCUCUCUCUCUCUCUCCAUCAGAAAGUUUUUCUCUCUAAUUAAUGUAAAAAAAAUCAGUACAGAGAUGACGAAUCAGUGGCUCAUUUUCACGGGUUAAAUUGAAGCUACAAGAUUAGGGUUAUAUGUUACGGUCAAAAUGAAAAGUGGUGAGCCAGUUGAUGGUUGUGCAAUAGUUUGGCGUUCAUCAAGGCAUCCCUUCAUUAUACCUUAACUAUCAAAUCGGUUGUGAGAUUUAGGCUUUUAUACUACAUUCAAGCUUCUACAUGAGCAAACCAUUGAGUACAAUAAGCUUGGACUUCGGGAUAAUCUGGUUCAGACCUGUGUUAUACAUGUGUGUUUGUACUGUGCUUCAAUAAAGUGUUAAAAACUCACACAAUACAUAUUAAUGUUCAUUAUUUCACUAAAUGUUAUUCUUACUUUGAACACUCACUAAAUGGAAAAGGAAAAGAAAGAGUUUGUUAAGUAUGAAUAUUACAUCAUCCGGUUGGUUUACCUCAAAUUAUUUGUUCUUGUGAUCACAUCAACACAUUUUAUUUUGUUAAUUUGAUACUAACUUUUUUUUAUAAUUUCAGAAUGACCCAUAAAAGCUUGGCUUAUCUGAUGUGUUUUGGAUUUACUAGGGCAGUAGUUUUCCAGAAAACCUUCUGAACUAGAGCAAUGUGUGCGAGUGGCAUCCUACUUCGUAUUAAAUGAUCUGGAGAUCUACUCGAUAAUUUCUUCCACUAUCAAUAACUUUUAGCAUUUUCUUUCAACCUUUGAUGUUUUGGUUAUCAUCUUCAAUCACAUUACUCAGUUAAUUAAUAAUUUUUUGAAAAUAAUUGAUUAAUAAUCAUGAUUUUUAACUAUCAAAAAUUAUUUUAUUUUGUAACCGUGGUUCCCACGGGUUAUAACGUAAUACACUUAUAUGCAUUUAGUAAUAAUAUAACAAACAUCUUUUCCCUAAUAAAUGAAAGUUUUUUUUGACACAUGUCAUAUUGUCAUUCAAUUUGCCACAUGUCAUUUUGUGAUUAUUUUAAAUUAAUUUCAUUUCCACAUGUUAUUUUAUGGAUUUUCCUAUUUUAAUAAAUUACACAUUAAUACUUUAAUGUAAUAAUUGCAAUAAAUAUAAUAAUAAAUGAAUAUCAAUUUCAUUAAUGGACAUACCUUCUUAUUUCAAAAUUCCCAUAUUAAAACCCAUUAGUUUAUUUUUUUAUAAAUUUAAAUUUAAAAGAUAAAAAAAUCAAUUUUAAUAAUUCAUUAUUUUUCU